UACAGAGGUCUCGAGCGUUGUUCGGAUUCAUUGGGCGUAAAGGGUGCGUAGGUGGCGCUGUAAGUCAGGUGUGAAAUUUCGGAGCUUAACUCCGAAACUGCAUUUGAUACUGCAGUGCUUGAGGACUGGAGAGGAGACUGGAAUUUACGGUGUAGCAGUGAAAUGCGUAGAGAUCGUAAGGAAGACCAGUGGCGAAGGCGGAUCUCUGGACAGCUACUGACACUGAGGCACGAAGGCCAGGGGAGCAAACGGG
rnacentral:rRNA from 1 species